CGGGGAAUUUUGGACAAUGGGCGAAAGCCUGAUCCAGCAAUGCCGCGUGUGUGAAGAAGGCCUUCGGGUUGUAAAGCACUUUUGUCCGGAAAGAAAUCCUUGGCUCUAAUACAGUCGGGGGAUGACGGUACCGGAAGAAUAAGCACCGGCUAACUACGUGCCAGCAGCCGCGGUAAUACGUAGGGUGCAAGCGUUAAUCGGAAUUACUGGGCGUAAAGCGUGCGCAGGCGGUUCUGUAAGACGGAUGUGAAAUCCCCGGGCUUAACCUGGGAACUGCAUUCGUGACUGCAAGGCUAGAGUAUGGCAGAGGGGGGUAGAAUUCCACGUGUAGCAGUGAAAUGCGUAGAGAUGUGGAGGAAUACCGAUGGCGAAGGCAGCCCCUGGGCCAAUACUGACGCUCAUGCACGAAAGCGUGGGGAGCAAACAGGAUUAGAUACCCUGGUAGUCCACGCCCUAAACGAUGUCAACUAGUUGUUGGGGAUUCAUUUCCUUAGUAACGUAGCUAACGCGUGAAGUUGACCGCCUGGGGAGUACGGUCGCAAGAUUAAAACUCAAAUGAAUUGACGGGGUCAUA
rnacentral:rRNA from 1 species